GUGCGAUGCCGCUCACAGCCUGGAAGAGGAGGAUGAUACCUGGGGAAAUACUGAGCUCGAAGUGGUGGAGCAGUCAUCUGCUAAAUCAGUUACCCUGGGUGCUGCAGCUGGUGGACAGCUGGCUGCCGCAGCGUCCCCAACCGCUACGGCCCUGACCGACAGCCCUCGCACGCCCUCCGCUGCCUCGGCCAGAGGACAGCUGGCUGCCGCGGGGUCCCUGAACGCUACAGCCCUGACCGACAGCCCUCGCACGCCCUCCGCUGCCUCGGCCAGAGGACAGCUGGCUGCCGCGGGGUCCCUGUACGCUACGGC